rnacentral:rRNA from 1 species
CCUACGGGUGGCAGCAGUGAGGAAUAUUGGUCAAUGGGCGGAAGCCUGAACCAGCCAAGUAGCGUGCAGGAUGACGGCCCUACGGGUUGUAAACUGCUUUUAUACGGGAAUAACGCGCCUUACGUGUAGGGCUUUGCAUGUACCGUAUGAAUAAGGACCGGCUAAUUCCGUGCCAGCAGCCGCGGUAAUACGGAAGGGCCGGGCGUUAUCCGGAUUUAUUGGGUUGAACGUGAGCGUAGGCCGAAUGACAAGCGUGCUGUGAAAGGUCAGGGCUCAACCCGGGCCUGGCAGCGCGAACUGGCGUGCUUGAGUCAGCGGAAAGCAGGCGGAAUUCGUCGUGUAGCGGUGAAAUGCUUAGAUAUGGCGAAGAACCCUGAUUGCGAAGGCAGCUUGCUGCAGCGGAACUGACGCUGAUGCUCGAAAGCGCGGGUAUCGAACAGGAUUAGAUACCCGGGUAGUC